rnacentral:rRNA from 1 species
GGGGAAUUUUCCGCAAUGGGCGAAAGCCUGACGGAGCAAUACCGCGUGAGGGAGGAAGGCUCUUGGGUCGUAAACCUCUUUUCUCAGGGAAGAACACAAUGACGGUACCUGAGGAAUAAGCAUCGGCUAACUCCGUGCCAGCAGCCGCGGUAAUACGGAGGAUGCAAGCGUUAUCCGGAAUUAUUGGGCGUAAAGCGUCCGCAGGUGGUUUGUCAAGUCUGCUGUCAAAGCGUGGAGCUUAACUCCACACAGGCAGUGGAAACUGAUGAGCUAGAGUUCGGUAGGGGUAGCGGGAAUUCCCAGUGUAGCGGUGAAAUGCGUAGAUAUUGGGAAGAACACCGGCGGCGAAAGCGCGCUACUGGGCCGAGACUGACACUGAGGGACGAAAGCUAGGGGAGCGAAAGGGAUUAGAUACCCCUGUAGUC